rnacentral:rRNA from 1 species
UACGUAGGGUGCAAGCGUUAAUCGGAAUUACUGGGCGUAAAGCGUGCGCAGGCGGUCUGAUAAGACAGUCGUGAAAUCCCCGAGCUUAACUUGGGAACUGCGAAUGUAACUGUCAGACUAGAGUGUGUCAGAGGGAGGUAGAAUUCCACGUGUAGCAGUGAAAUGCGUAGAGAUGUGGAGGAAUACCGGUGGCGAAGGCGGCCUCCUGGGAUAACACUGACGCUCAUGUACGAAAGCGUGGGGAGCAAACAGG